rnacentral:rRNA from 1 species
CACUCCUGCGGGAGGCAGCAGUGGGGAAUAUUGCACAAUGGGCGCAAGCCUGAUGCAGCCAUGCCGCGUGUAUGAAGAAGGCCUUCGGGUUGUAAAGUACUUUCAGCGGGGAGGAAGGCGAUAAGGUUAAUAACCUUGUCGAUUGACGUUACCCGCAGAAGAAGCACCGGCUAACUCCGUGCCAGCAGCCGCGGUAAUACGGAGGGUGCAAGCGUUAAUCGGAAUUACUGGGCGUAAAGCGCACGCAGGCGGUCUGUCAAGUCGGAUGUGAAAUCCCCGGGCUCAACCUGGGAACUGCAUUCGAAACUGGCAGGCUAGAGUCUUGUAGAGGGGGGUAGAAUUCCAGGUGUAGCGGUGAAAUGCGUAGAGAUCUGGAGGAAUACCGGUGGCGAAGGCGGCCCCCUGGACAAAGACUGACGCUCAGGUGCGAAAGCGUGGGGAGCAAACAGGAUUAGAAACCUUUGUAGUCCCAUG